GAUGAACGCUGACAGCAUGCUUAACACAUGCAAGUCAACUGUGGCGGACGGGUGAGUAACGCGUAAAGAACUUGCCUCACAGAUAGGGACAACAUUUGGAAACGAAUGCUAAUACAUGAUACUGUGAGAGAGCUUUGCGUCCCAUUAGCUAGUUGGAGAGGUAACGGCUCACCAAGGCGAGGAUGGGGAGCCGGCCUGGGAGGGCGAUCGGCCACAAGGGGACUGAGACACGGCCCUUACUCCUACGUGAGGCAGGAGUGGGGAAUAUUGGGCAAUGGACCAAAGUCUGAUCCAGGAAUUCUGUGUGCACGAUGAAGUUUUCGGAAUGUAAAGUGCUUUCAGUUGGGAAGCGGUACCAACAGAAGAAGUGACGGCUAAAUACGUGCCAGCAGCCGCGGUAAUAC
rnacentral:rRNA from 1 species